GCGCGAGUAGUAUAGUGGUUAGUAUGCGUGCUUCCCAAGCACGAGAGCCGGGUUCGAUUCCCGGCUCGCGCA
rnacentral:tRNA from 4 species